rnacentral:tRNA from 2 species
AAGGAAGUGACAGAGUGGUGAUGUGGUUGGCUUGAAACCAAUUUAUGGAGGUUCGAUUCCUUCCUUUCUCG